rfam:Canis lupus familiaris chromosome 4, whole genome shotgun sequence.
UAGGGGAGUCGGGGUUUGGCACCCCUCCCUGAGCCCAGGGUAACUCUCAGAGUGGAGGGGCA